rnacentral:rRNA from 1 species
CGCGGCCUAUCAGCUUGUUGGUGGGGUAAUGGCCUACCAAGGCGUCGACGGGUAGCCGGCCUGAGAGGGUGGACGGCCACAUUGGGACUGAGAUACGGCCCAGACUCCUACGGGAGGCAGCAGUGGGGAAUAUUGCACAAUGGGCGGAAGCCUGAUGCGGCGACGCCGCGUGGGGGAUGACGGCCUUCGGGUUGUAAACCUCUUUCGACAGGGACGAAGUGAAAAUGACGGUACCUGUAUAAGAAGCACCGGCUAACUACGUGCCAGCAGCCGCGGUAAUACGUAGGGUGCGAGCGUUGUCCGGAAUUACUGGGCGUAAAGAGCUCGUAGGUGGUUUGUCACGUCGUCUGUGAAAUUCCGGGGCUUAACCUCGGGCGUGCAGGCGAUACGGGCAAUACUUGAGUGCUGUAGGGGAGACUGGAAUUCCUGGUGUAGCGGUGAAAUGCGCAGAUAUCAGGAGGAACACCAAUGGCGAAGGCAGGUCUCUGGGCAGUUACUGACGCUGAGGAGCGAAAGCAUGGGUAGCGAACAGGAUUAGAUACCCUGGUAGUCCAUGCCGUAAACGGUGGGCGCUAGGUGUAGGGGACUUCCACGUUCUCUGUGCCGUAGCUAACGCAUUAAGCGCCCCGCC